AGGGUCCGGCCGGAGGAUGCGCGGCCGGACGAGCGCUCGGGAGGGCUCCACGCUGCGCCACGUCGCGCGGUGCCCCGGGCCCGGGCGGCGGCGGCGGCGCCCACCCCCGGCACUGCCCGAGCCGCCGGCGGCGGCCGCGGGGCCCGACCCUGCCGGGGAAGCCCCGGUCCCGCUGCCCGGCGGGUCCCGCGGCCGCGGGGCGCCCGACCCGGGGACGGCCGGCGGUGGCUGCAGCGGGCCCGGGCCCGGGGCAGGUGGCGGCGCUUUCCCCGCCCGGUGCCGGAAGCCGCGCACAGCGGCGGGGCCGCUCGGGGAGCCCGGUGCGGGCGGCUCCGCGCACUCCGUCCUCGUGGGGCGGCUCGCGGGGAGCACACGCGUGUCCGCGGCUGCCAGCGGGGCCACCGCGCGCUGCUCCGGGAAACGUGGCGGUGCCGGGGCGGUCGGCACCUUCCCCCGGACAGGUGGAGCGGGGCCGGACACCGUCCCGGAGUGAGCCCCGUGCAGCCCCGCCGUGCGGGCCGGCGGCUCCGGGCCUCCCGCCGCCGCUACGGGAGCGCCCCGGGCACCGCAGCCCCGGGGCAGGACGGCGGGGCCGCGGGCACGCGUGGGGUGAUACUCGGGGCGGCAGGAGCCUCCGCGCCCGCUGACAACGGGGCCGUCCCUGGGGCUGGCGUGGGGUCUCGGUGCCACCGUCCCCCUUUUCCCCCCGGGCUCUGCCGGGCCGUGGCGUCCCCGCCGGCCCUCGGACGGGGCGAUCGAUCCCCGCGGGGCCGCGCCCCCCGUGAGGUUCCCGGCAACUUUCGCCGGGAGCGGCGGGGCUGAGCUCGAACGGGGCCCGGAGCGGCUCCUUUGCCGGGGUCGGGCAGCACCCCGCUCGCCCAGGACGUUCCCCGUUGCCCCGGGUCGGUGCCACCCCGGCCCGCGGGCUCGCCCGGGCCCGGAGGUGCGGAGGCACCGCACGGGGGACACACCGGGAGGCACCGCUGAAUGUCACCGCGCCGCAGCCCCUAACAAAGACGCAGCCGCCGCGAUCGCAGAGCCGAGCCAAUAAAAAGCAAACUGAUAUUACAAUUUUGAUUUCCCUGGAGGGCCGAAGGGGCUUAAUGUAAGAAUUAUUAUCCAUUGUGAACAGCAGCCCAAGGAAAACACACAGAGGAAGAUUUAAUUUUUUUUUUUUUUAACUUAGCGGUUUUCCUAAGAAACAUACAUUCAUUGAAAUUUAUGCCAGCGGAGUUUGUUAACCCUCCCCUUUGACAUUUCCAGCUUCUCCUGUUGCCAGAGGAGACAAACCGCUAAUGCUCGCAAUAAAACUAAAUGCCCAGGGACGAGCAGGGUUUGGUGCGAUUCCUCCCCAGCCUGGGUAAGCUGCAGAGCGCGUCCAGCUCCGGAUCCCGCCCGGCUGGGAAAACUCUGCUCUGCCCAGGACUCAGUCGGGAAUAGGUGAUGAGGAGUGCAGAGUCUGGCUGGCUGCAUAUAUAUAAAGUAUAAAUUAAAAAAAAAAAUUUAAAUGUGUGACCAGAUAUCCUUGGCAUCUUUUAGAACCUGUCUCAGGAGCAAUACAAGGGACUGUUGAUUAAAUAAAUAAAUAAAUAAAUAAAUAAAUAAAUUAGUGAAACAACACUGAAAAGCAGUAUUAAAAGCAUUUUAAUCGCUGCCUGGUCCCUGGCUCCCAUGGCUCAGCAGCAGCUCCCAUCCUUCGGGUUCCAGUAGGAUCUUCAUCUGCUUUCUGUUACGGGGCUGAUUGCCCGUGAUUCACAAUAAUGAUGGUAAUGGUGGUGAUUUUCUGUCUCUUACCUUGCUCAGGCAGCAGCAGUUCAUGAACUGAUACAUCUUUCUCUUUGCCAGGCCCAAAGAGGACACCUUAUUUGAACCACAGAAAACAGCCUAAAUAAGGAAAGUGGGAAGCGUUUCCAACUGUUGCCUCUUGCGGACUGGCUGGGGCAUAUCACGGGGAUGAGCCAAGGAAAAGGGUUUCCAACCAGAAGGAACAGGAGCCGAGUGCUGCCUUUAAAGCCAGCAGAGGAGUGGGUUGGCCCCGGGCACUUCCUUGCUGGCUGCUGGUGGAUCAGGCAGAGCAUCAGCAGCCGGUGCUGCUGCUCUCAGCAGGACUCUGUCCCCGUGGAGGGCUGGGGGCUCCAGCCCCCGUGUGCCUGAUCCCGAGGUGGGGCUGCUGGGUGCAGCUGGAAGACAAAACCUCCAUCAGCCAGGGCAGAUGGGCUUCCCGCAGGUGAUGGGAACCACACCAAGCUGUAAUCCUCCAGCUCCAUCGAGGCGACUCCAAGGCUGCAGUUUGGGCGCUCACCUUUUCCUCCCCUCUGCCCCAGCAAGGCUGGCAGCUCCUGCUCAGUCUGCGAAGCCACGAGCGCUCCAGGCUGAGCACCAAAUAACAACAGAAAGUUAAUUCACGAAUAGUUACAGCGUUUCCUUCAAGGCCACUCUCACAAGGGGCCAGGCACCAACUUUGCCAUGUCCUUGGAGCAGGGGGGAGGGCACUGGCCCCAUUCAUCCCUACCUGGCCACCCGCAGCCUUGGCCAGCUGGGCUCCAGGAUUUGCCCUUCUGCUUUUGUCAGCUCUGGCUUGCAUUGGAACUUGUGGCCAGUCUGAAAAACGGAUUAUGACACAGCCCUUGCUGAGGUCAACACUGUGCUGGAGAAAGACAAGAAAAGGAUGAGUAGGUAGGCUUGGAAAAAGAGACAACAAAACCAGCAAAUCCACAAAAACCUAAACCCACCCACCCAAUCAAUAGGAUGCCAUGGAGUACGAUGUGAACAAUGAAACCCUGUUCCAGGUUGCCAAGGCAAAUCUGUCAAUAGAGUAUUGAACAAGCAAA